rnacentral:sRNA from 2 species
CAACAUACGGUGGAGGCAGCCACGGGCCAUGCAGCCGCACCCGACAACCAUAAGGUGCUAGAGCUCAAUGAUGAUAGCAGCCGAGGCAACGUCCUGCCAGUUCGGUGCAAAUAAAGCAUUUUCUCCUGCGCCUGUUUCUCCUGACUUGUAGCAAUGUGAUGAGCUUCCAUCCAGGUCCUGCAGAAGAAGACUUGUCAGGAGCCAGGCAAAGAUCCUCCCCGCCACUAGGGGUGGCCCCUGGGCUGUGCUCACGCUCUCAAAGGAUCCCUUUCUAGAUUUCGUUCAAGAUGUCCGGGCAAAAGAA